CAACAGCUCGGGGCACAGCUGUUGCUCUUCCCCAGCAUGGACAAGUCGGGGGCUGUUGUCUGUGAAUUCUUUUUGAAAGCUGCCUGUGGCAAAGGGGGCGUGUGCCCAUUUCGCCACAUCAGUGGCGAGAAGACAGUUGUGUGCAAACACUGGCUGCGAGAGCUGUGCAAGAAAGGGGACCAGUGCGAGUUCUUACACGAGUAUGACAUGACCAAGAUGCCUGAGUGCUACUUCUACUCCAAGUUCGGGGAGUGUAGCAACAAGGAGUGCCCCUUCCUGCACAUCGACCCUGAGUCCAAGAUCAAAGACUGCCUUUGGUACGACCGCGGCUUCUGCAAGCAUGGUCUCCUGUGCAGGCACCGGCACACGCAGAGAGUCAUCUGUGUGAAUUACUUCGUGGGAUUGUGCCCGGGGGGACCCUCGUGUAAAUUCAUGCACCGGCGAUUUGAACUGCCCAUGGGAACCAAUGAGCAGCCCCCACUGCCACAGCAGACGCAGCCUCCAACAAAGCAGAGAAUCCCACAGGUCAUCGGGGUCAUGCAGAGUCAAAACAGCAGUGCAGGCAACCGGGGACCCCGACCACUGGAGCAGGUUACCUGUUAUAAGGGAGCCCCAGACGUUGGCUCAGAGUGUGGUGAAAAAGGACACUACACCAACAAAUGCACCAAAGGGCACUUGGCCUUUCUCAGUGGACAGUGA